AUUGAACGCUGGCGGCAGGCUUAACACAUGCAAGUCGAGCGAGCGGCGGACGGGUGAGUAAUGGCUGGGAAACUGCCUGAUGGAGGGGGAUAACUACUGGAAACGGUAGCUAAUACCGCAUACCAUCAGAUGUGCCCAGAGUGGAUUGGCUAGGAGGUGGGGUAAUGGCUCACCUAGGCGACGAUGCCUAGCUGGUCUGAGAGGAGAACCAGCCACACAUGCACUGAGACACGGUCCAGAUUCCUACGGGAGGCAGCAUUGGGGAAGAGGGCACAUUGCGCGCAUGCCUGAUGCAGCCAUGCCGCGUGUGUGAAGAAGGCGUUCGGGUUGUAAAGCACUUUCAGUGAGGAGGCGUUACUCGCCGAAGGAGCACCGGCUAACUCCGUGCCAGCAGCCGCGGUAAUAC
rnacentral:rRNA from 1 species